GACGAACGCUGGCGGCGUGCCUAAUACAUGCAAGUAGAACGCUGAAGGAGUAGCUUGCUUCUCUGGAUGAGUUGCGAACGGGUGAGUAACGCGUAGGUAACCUGCCUGGUAGCGGGGGAUAACUAUUGGAAACGAUAGCUAAUACCGCAUAAGAGUAGAUGUCGCAUGACAUUUGCUUAAAAGGUGCAAUUGCAUCACUACCAGAUGGACCUGCGUUGUAUUAGCUAGUUGGUGAGGUAACGGCUCACCAAGGCAACGAUACAUAGCCGGACUGAGAGGGAGAUCGGCCAAACUGGGAAGGGGAAAAGGCCCAGACGCCUACGGGAGGCAGCAGGAGGGAAUCUUCGGCAAUGGACGGAAGUCUGAACGAGCAAAGCCGCGGGAGGGAAGAAGGUUUUCGGAUCGUAAAGCUCUGUUGUAAGAGAAGAAAGAGUGUGAGAGUGGAAAGUUCACACUGUGACGGUAGCUUACCAGAAAGGGACGGCUAACUACGUG
rnacentral:rRNA from 1 species